CCUACGUGAGGCAGCAGUGGGGAAUAUUGCACAAUGGGGGAAACCCUGAUGCAGCGACGCCGCGUGAGUGAAGAAGUAUUUCGGUAUGUAAAGCUCUAUCAGCAGGGAAGAAGACAGACGGUACCUGACUACGAAGCCCCGGCUAACUACGUGACAGCCGCCGCGGUAAUACGUAGGGGGCAAGCGUUAUCCGGAUUUACUGGGUGUAAAGGGAGCGUAGACGGCUUGGCAAGUCUGAAGGGAAAGUCCAGGGCUCAACCCUGGGACUGCUGUGGAAACUGUGGAGCUAGAGUGCUGGAGAGGUAAGUGGAAUUCGAGGUGUAGCAGUGAAAUGCGUAGAUAUCUGGAGGAACAUCAGUGGCGAAGGCGACUAUCUGGCACAUAACUGACGCUGAGGAGCGAAAGCGUGGGUAGCAAACAGGAUUAGAUACCCGAGUAGUC
rnacentral:rRNA from 1 species